rnacentral:lncRNA from 1 species
UAUACAAAGGAAAACAGAAAAUGAGAUCACAGAAAGAACAAGAUAAUCCUAAAUGAAUUGUGAGUUGCAAUCAAAUACCRACUUCUAUGAUAGCAAGAUCACAUUUACCUUAACAGCAGCUACUCAGGAAAUCAGAGGCCAGAAGCUACCGCAUGGGAGCUGGACCAGGACACAUGCCCGAUUUUGUCACUUUAGGGUGGACUAUGAAGAGCCCCCAUGGCUGUGGCUUGAGCAGGGAGCUCAAAGACGCCCGGUAGAAGCAGGUGAGGUUGCACGGAGGGUCCGCACAGCAGUGCUGCUGCGUUGGCCUGCUGCUCCACCCUUCGGCAGCGAGGACGAUCACCAGAGCUGUGUCAUGUGGAAGGGAGCUGRACCUCGUGCUUGCGCUGCCCCUGCAGAUCGGAUCGUGGGCUUAGGGAACAGGGGACACUUCUGUGCAGGAUGACACCUCCUUGAAACCUCUGCAUUCUACUGACAGCCUGGGAGGACGUUGUACCCUUGGUUUUGACAUGCCAGAGAAGCAAAAGGGAUGGAAGAAUCCUUAAGUYCAUUCAGGGAUCGCAUUAUGUAGUGUGCCUGGAAAUACAUAUAGAUGCUUUAGAAUUUAAAUGCUGAAGUACCGUCAGUAUUAACAAAGAAUGUUACAGAACAUUUUGGAUAUUGACCAGUACACUUAAACUAAGAGAUGUGGUUUCAUUUUCUGAAAAUGCUGACAGACUGAGGAUCGCCUUUUUUCUUUUGCCAAAUGUGAGAGGUKUUUUGUACACAAAGUAUUACAAACAGAAACACUAUAAAACUGAGUUUAUAUUUCUUUUGAUAUAGGGUAACCAAUAUCUGCGCUUUCCCUAUUACCAGAAUUUUUUCAAAAAUUGUAAAUUUUCUUUAAAGAGUCUACUUAUCUGUGUCUCUUAUACUAUAUUCAUAUUAGUACUCAGACAAAAGGCAAGUUUAACAUUUGUUCUGAUCUGUCACAAUGGAAUAUUAAUUUUUAAAACUGAUUGUGACAACUUGGCUUGCAGGGAUUGCUAUUUCACUGCUAACUCAUCUGUUCUGGGAGAGUGGAUGAAAGUUUUAAGCUAUCUUGCGUUCCUCCGACAGUUGACUGAACAAGUGCAAGUACGUUAGGACCCAGGUUACCUUUACCUCUUCCUGUAAAUUUCUGAAAUAUACACCUGAAAAAUAACCAAAAAAAAAAAGCUAUUUCACUAUUAAAUCUCCUGUCUCCUAAAUGGCCAGUAAUCGUGGCAGUGUAUUUAAGCUCAAUUUUAACAGGUUACUGCUUCAUAUUUCUCAGUUCCUUUUAGUUCCUGAGUAAGUAUUUUGAAGGAAUCUCACGAAAAUGUUUUCAAAUCCUAAUGAGUGAUGCCCAUCAGAUUGUCAUUAUUUACUAUUUAAUACAAAAUUCAGAGUUCAAUCAGGGUGGUGUGGGAUUUUUUUCCUGUGGU